UACGUAGGGGGCAAGCGUUGUCCGGAAUCAUUGGGCGUAAAGAGCGUGUAGGCGGCUUGGUAAGUCCGCUGUGAAAGUCCAGGGCUCAACCCUGGAAAGCCGGUGGAAACUGUCAAGCUUGAGUCCGGAAGAGGCGAGUGGAAUUCCUGGUGUAGCGGUGAAAUGCGCGGAUAUCAGGAGGAACACCAAUGGCGAAGGCAGCUCGCUGGGACGGUACUGACGCUGAGACGCGAAAGCGUGGGGAGCAAACAGG
rnacentral:rRNA from 1 species